GGCACAGUGAAGGAGGCACCAGGGGCCUGUCUUCCUCGAAGGCUGUAGGGUGUGAAUCCACAUGGCCUCGGCUUACCCUGGCCACACUGCAGGGCCAGGGUCAUCCUGUACUAGCCUGGCAGAAUUGUCCAGAGGUGCCUAGGAAAACACUGGGUGGUUACCGGGAAGGCAGCUGGUAUGUCAUCAUGACACUGCUGUCCGCAUCUGCCAUCAGCAGCCAGAUGGGAUCCUGCAGGACGCACUUAAUGAAACGCUCACUUUCUUCCA